rnacentral:tRNA from 1 species
GGUUCCAUAGUAUAGUGGUUAGCACAUCUGCUUUACACGCAGAAAGUCUUGCUUGGGUUCAUACCCCACUGGAGCUA